rnacentral:rRNA from 1 species
GAUGAACGCUGGCGACGUGCCUAAUACAUGCAAGUAGAACGCUGAAGCUUGGUGCUUGCACCGAGCGGAUGAGUUGCGAACGGGUGAGUAACGCGUAGGUAACCUGCCUCUUAGCGGGGGAUAACUAUUGGAAACGAUAGCUAAUACCGCAUAAAAGUCGACAUCGCAUGAUAUUGAUUUGAAAGGUGCAAUUGCAUCACUAAGAGAUGGACCUGCGUUGUAUUAGCUAGUUGGUGAGGUAACGGCGCACCAAGGCGACGAUGCAUAGCCGACCUGAGAGGGUGAUCGGCCACACUGAGACUGGGACAGGGCCCAGACUCCUACGGGAGGGAGCAGUAGGGAAUCUUCAGAAAUGGGGGCAACCCUGAGCGAGCAACGCCGCGUGAGUGAAGAAGGUGUUCGGAUCGUAGAGCUCUGUUGUAAGAGAAGAACGAGUGUGAGAGUGGAAAGUUCACACUGUGACGGUAGCUUACCAGAAAGGGACGGCUAACUACGUG